rnacentral:rRNA from 1 species
GACGAACGCUGGCGGCGUGCUUAACACAUGCAAGUCGAACGGAAAGGCCCUUCGGGGUACUCGAGUGGCGAACGGGUGAGUAACACGUGGGUGAUCUGCCCUGCACUUUGGGAUAAGCCUGGGAAACUGGGUCUAAUACCGAAUAGGACCACGCGCUUCAUGGUGUGUGGUGGAAAGCUUUUGCGGUGUGGGAUGGGCCCGCGGCCUAUCAGCUUGUUGGUGGGGUAAUGGCCUACCAAGGCGACGACGGGUAGCCGGCCUGAGAGGGUGACCGGCCACACUGGGACUGAGAUACGGCCCAGACUCCUACGGGAGGCAGCAGUGGGGAAUAUUGCACAAUGGGCGCAAGCCUGAUGCAGCGACGCCGCGUGAGGGAUGACGGCCUUCGGGUUGUAAACCGCUUUCACCAGGGACGAAGCGUAAGUGACGGUACCUGGAGAAGAAGCACCGGCCAACUACGUG